rnacentral:rRNA from 1 species
CCCUUAGAUGUUCUGGGCCGCACACGCGCUACACUGAAGGAGGCAGCGUGUACUCCUGGAUCGAAAGAUUUGGGUAACCCGCGAAUCUCCUUCGUGCUAGGGAUUGAGGUUUGCAAUUAUCCUUCAUGAACGAGGAAUUCCCAGUAAGUGCAAGUCAUAAGCUUGCGCUGACUACGUCCCUGCCCUUUGUACACACCGCCCGUCGCUCCUACCGAUUGAAUGGUCCGGUGAAGCGUUCGGACCGUGGCCUUUGGACGGUUCGCCGUCUGUUGGCUGCGGGAAGUUCGUUAAACCUUAUCAUUUAGAGGAAGGAGAAGUCGUANCA